GUAGGGAAUAUUGCACAAUGGGGGAAACCCUGAUGCAGCGACGCCGCGUGAGUGAUGAAGGCCUUCGGGUCGUAAAGCUCUGUCGUAUGGGAAUAACACAAUGAAUGUACCAUGCAAGAAAGGAUCGGCUAACUUCGUGCCAGCAGCCGCGGUAAGACGAGGGAUCCUAGCGUUGUUCGGAAUUAUUGGGCGUAAAGCGGGUGUAGGCGGACUAAUAAGUCAGGUGUGAAAUCCCAGGGCUCAACCCUGGAAGUGCACUUGAUACUGCUAGUCUUGAAUGUGGUAGAGGUUACUGGAAUUGCUGGUGUAGUGGUGAAAUACGUAGAUAUCAGCAGGAACACCGGAGGCGAAGGCGGGUAACUGGGCCAACAUUGACGCUGAGACCCGAAAGCGUGGGGAUCAAACAGGAUUAGAAACCCGUGUAGUCC
rnacentral:rRNA from 1 species